rnacentral:rRNA from 1 species
AUGCCUGAUUUUCAUCUGACCCCUGGACAAAGUCAUAUGUUGACCCAUUUCAUCACUGAAGAGAAAUGGAAGUUUGAAAAGGCAAGAGAGAUUAAGAAAGCUCAAUACAGAAAGGAGAAGCUCCUAAAGAAAAACGUUGUCAGAAUGACACCUGAGGAACUUCUCCAGGCUCAGUCUGAAAUUCAAGCCCUCAGCAAGGAUUUUGAUGCCUACUAUGCUGAUUGGCAAGGAGCCAAAGUCAGAUUCGUCAACCUGACGAAGAAAUUCACCAAUGUUGCUGCCCCAACGCAACAUGAAAUUCCUCAGGCUGGAGUCUCAGCUCAGCCGACUGAAGAACAUGCCAGCACCGCUGAUGAAGUUCAGGCUGCUGAUGAAAAUGUUAGUUCCAGGGCUGAUGAUCCCAUUCCAGCCGCUGAAGAAAUUGCCAGGGCAUCCACUAGUGGUGCGCCUGAAGAAACUGAAGAAGUCAGGGCAACUGCAUCAGUUGCGCCUGAAGAAAAUCAACCAGAUUCCUCAGCUCCAUCUGCACCUACACCAACUCCAAUUCUUCCAUGUGCAUUUGAUGUGAAGAAGACCAAGGCUGCAGAGCAAGCUGCAGUGAAGAAAAGGAAGGCAUCAGCUGUGUCAAAUUCUUCGGUUGCAAAGAAAAUGAAGCCAAUGACCAGCUCACUCGAAAAUCCAAUUGAUGUUGUUCCGAUUUCCUCCAUGCCAUCAAAGGACCUUGUUCCUUUUGGAGAAGACUAUGAGAUCCCAGUCGGAUUUUAUGAAGAACAUCAUUCUGCUGCUUUGUCAGAGCAGAUUGAUGAAGAAAUUGAAGUGGACGCAAUCCCUUCAACGCCAGUCAUUUCCUCACCUAUGCCUCAGUUCACAGCUGAAGAGGCUGGUGUUGAGGAAAUUGAAGAUGAAGAUGUGGAUAUAGGGUGCACCACACCUGUGAUGAACGAUGACUUUUGGGAAAGUCAGCAUCCAAAUUCUCCAGUCUUCACCCCACUACAACAAAUUCCUCAGUCCCCUGCACCAACAGUUCAAUUGGGCUCUGAAGAAACUCAACCCACUCUCUCUGUGCAUGAAGAAAUUCCAGCCACUAGUGCUGAUGAAUCUGCUGCUGCUGAUCCUCGGACUGCACUUGUUGAGGAACAAGAAAUUCCUCAGCCUGAAGAACCUGAGCUCGCGAUUCCUGAGGUGGUGAUGCAACUCACUGACACCCCUCUGUCAAAGCAAAAGAAUCCGUUCUCAAGCAAACAGAAGUUCAAGGCUGAAGAUUUCUUUGCCGAGCACGUAUUCUUCACUGAUUAUAAUCCAUAUGAUUCUGCUCGCAUAAGGAAGAGGCGUUUCUGGACUGCCAGCCAAGCCAAUUUCUACUCCUCAGUGCUCUUCAACAAAGACAAAGUCUUCGAUCAUGCACAUAUUCCUCAUGUGGACAUGGAGUCUCUACCCGGCUUUGAGCCAGUCCUCAGUGUUCUUCACGACGCAGGACUUCUGAAUUUCUGCAUUGAUAUCUGUGACUAG